rnacentral:lncRNA from 1 species
GAUAUUUGAGGAUUUUCGAAAAUGUAGGAGGGAAACAUUGCACUAGUACUAAAAAUUUGAGGCACAACCUUGGCGGGAUGUAGUGGGUCCCACCUAUUCAUUUGAUUUCAUAGUUUUUGCACUAGGAGUCGCCAUGGAUGGAGCUGCCGUUUUGGGGGCAAGUAGGAGGAGGUUGAGAUAUUUGAGGAUUUGGAAAAACGUAGGAGGGAAACAUUGCACUAGUACUAAAAAUUUGAGGCACAACCUUGGCGGGAUGUAGUGGGUCCCACCUGUCUUUUUGAUUUCAUAGUUUUUUGCACUCACGUUUGGUUUCAACAAACCUAUCUACAAUUUGCACUCAUGUUUGGUUUCAACAAACCUAUCUACAAUUUUAUCUAAAUUUGUGCAAUUAUUAUUAGGUUGGAGGAUGCAUGACUAUCUCACCAUGUACCUAUGAUCCCUCAAUUGAAAAUGAAGGAGAAAUGAGCCAAAUUAAUCACAAACAUAGUUCCAGCACUACAAGUUGAGCCAACCAGUCAUGAACAUCAUUAGACAAAAGCAAAAGAAACAAUAAAGCUACACUACUUCACAGCUGCAUACAAAGAGAGAAUUA